AUUGAACGCUGACGGCAGGCUUAACACAUGCAAGUCGAGCGGGGUGAUGGUGCUUGCACUAUCACUUAGCGGCGGACGGGUGAGUAAUGCUUAGGAAUCUGCCUAUUGGUGGGGGACAACAUCUCGAAAGGGAUGCUAAUACCGCAUACGUCCUACGGGAGAAAGCAGGGGAUCACUUGUGACCUUGCGCUAAUAGAUGAGCCUAAGUCGGAUUAGCUAGUUGGUGGGGUAAAGGCCUACCAAGGCGACGAUCUGUAGCGGGUCUGAGAGGAUGAUCCGCCACACUGGGACUGAGACACGGCCCAGACUCCUACGGGAGGCAGCAGUGGGGAAUAUUGGACAAUGGGGGGAACCCUGAUCCAGCCAUGCCGCGUGUGUGAAGAAGGCCUUAUGGUUGUAAAGCUCUUUCGGCCGGGAAGAAAUCGUGUGGGUUAAUACCUCACAUGGAUGACGGUACCGGAAUAAGAAGCACCGGCUAACUACGUGCCAGCCGCCGCUGUAA
rnacentral:rRNA from 1 species